rnacentral:rRNA from 1 species
GAUGAACGCUAGCUACAGGCUUAACACAUGCAAGUCGAGGGGAAACGAUGAGAGAGCUUGCUCUCUUAGGCGUCGACCGGCGCACGGGUGAGUAACGCGUAUCCAACCUACCCAUUACAGGGGGAUAACCUUGCGAAAGUAAGACUAAUACCCCAUGGCAUUUUAUGGUGGCAUCAUUAUAGGAUUAAAGAUUUAUUGGUAAUGGAUGGGGAUGCGUCUGAUUAGCUUGUUGGCGGGGUAACGGCCCACCAAGGCAACGAUCAGUAGGGGUUCUGAGAGGAAGGUCCCCCACAUUGGAACUGAGACACGGUCCAAACGCCUACGGGAGGCAGCAGUGAGGAAUAUUGGUCAAUGGGCGAGAGCUUGAACCAGCCAAGUAGCGUGCAGGAGGACGGCCCUAUGGGUUGUAAACUGCUUUUAUAGGGGAAUAAAGUGAGCUACGUGUAGUUUAUUGCAUGUACCCUAUGAAUAAGGACCGGCUAAUUCCGUG